rnacentral:piRNA from 1 species
UGAAUAAUAUGUAGUAUUUAA